UAUCACGUGAUCUGAGUUCAAACCGAGUACUGCCGCAGUGUUCUGACUGUGCUAAGGUAGCAUAAUCAUUUGUUAUCUAAAUGAUAACUAGUAUGAAUGGUCUGACGAGAAAAUAACUUUCUAAAAAGAAAAAAUAAAAAUUUAUUUUAAAGUAAAAAAGCUUUAAAACUUUAGAAAGACGAGAAGACCCUAGAACCUGUCUAUCUACAUAGUUUGUUGGGGUGACAUUAUUUUAAAACAAAUAACUACUUAAACUCAUUAAGAGACUUAACCUAUCUUUUUUUAAAAAAAAAAAAGGUACUCUAGGGAUAACAGCAUAAUCUUCUUUUAGAGCCCUAAUCGACAAGAAAGAUUUUGACCUCGAUGUUGAAUUGAUAUUUCUUCUUAAAGCAGA
rnacentral:rRNA from 1 species